rnacentral:rRNA from 1 species
UACAGGGGGGGCAAGCGUUGUUCGGAAUUACUGGGCGUAAAGGGUUCGUAGGUUGCUCGCUAAGUCACACGUGAAAUCCCUCAGCUUAACUGGGGAACUGCGUGUGAGACUGGGGAGCUUGAGGGUAGGAGAGGAAUGCGGAAUUCCAGGUGUAGCGGUGAAAUGCGUAGAUAUCUGGAGGAACACCGGUGGCGAAGGCGGCAUUCUGGACUACAUCUGACACUGAUGAACGAAAGCCAGGGGAGCAAACGGG